rnacentral:tRNA from 1 species
GAGGGUAUAGCUCAGGGGUAGAGUGCAUGCUUCGCAUGCAUGAGGUCCUAGGUUCAAAUCCCCAGUACCUCCG